GAGAGCGGAGAACCAACGUGGAGCAACAGCGACAUCUAUCAGCCCGGCCGGGGUAGGGAGCCGGGGACCUUCACGUUGAACAAAGGAGCGAGCCCCCUUCGCUCCGGUUUGUUUACCAAUGAACCAACGCGUGUGUACGGCAGAGUGGGGGGAAAAAAAGGAAACGACCGGGCAAAUACAGGCAAAGUCAAAUUCAAAUAAAAAGGUUGUUUGAAAUCAGAAAGAGGGGGAUCUUGCCAACCCUUGCACUGCUCUGGAUUGUGUCUCUGGUUCCCACCGAAAUCCCAAGCUCUUUAGGAGGGCUGCUUCGGCGAAAUCUCAGCCCCACGCAGGCUGCUGGAGUGAGAAGAAGCUGCUGGAAAACCCCUCUUUUAUGCACGUGAAAAUGUUGUGAAUAUAAAAUAAAGAUUUGCAAGGGACCGGGCAUGGCGCUUUAUAGGGGUGGUGGGGGAGUUUGGGGGGCCAAACCAAUCCAUUUAUGCAAAUAUUUGAAAGCUGUUAAAAGCUCUUAUAAAGCCAAGACUGGAAAGCCAACUCAGAGAGUGGCAGCCACGGGUGGUGGGAGGGGUGGGGGGAACCAGUUUCAUCAUUACAAUAUUCGAGUGUAUUUAAAACACACAAAGCUUUAGCAUCAAGGGAUUAUUUUUUUGUCUUGUCGAGUAGAAGUCGCUGCUCCUCAAGAGCACAGAAGAGGUUUCCAGGAGACGGAAUAUUGUUUAAAGUUAAAAAUAAUUAGAAGUAUGAUAAACAUGGGUCAUUAAUGGAAAAAGAAAUAAAAUUCAUCAGCUUAAGUAGAACCCCCGUUGGGAAAAAUGCUUGUCUCUAAUUACAGAAAAUAAAUACGAACAAACGCUAUUAAAACUUAAAA